rnacentral:lncRNA from 1 species
CAACAGUGAAGCACAGCAAGAAGAUCUUGUUGAUGUUCUUUUGAGAAUCCAACAAAGUGGGAGCCUCGAGGUCCAAAUGACAACCGGACACGUCAAAGCUGUCAUAUGGGUAAGUAAAUUAAUAUUAUGCCACAAAACUCUAUUUUUUUUUAUUCUACCACAAAAAUGAAGGAUAGACCCAUUUAUUCACUGAGUCACCGUACAUGUUUUUCAGGGGAAAAAAACCCACCUCUUAAUAUGUUCACAAGUCACAAGCAAGCAAAAACGGUUAAUAUAAGUUGAAAGACAAUUUUUUAGAAAUGGCCGGAUAAUAUGCAAUCAUAUAGCUGUUGCAUUUUUUU